UACAGAGGGUGCGAGCGUUAAUCGGAAUCACUGGGCGUAAAGCGCACGUAGGCGGACUUUUAAGUCGGAGGUGAAAUCCUGGAGCUCAACUCCAGAACUGCCUUCGAUACUGAGAGUCUUCGAGUUCGGGAGAGGUGAGUGGAACUGCGAGUGUAGAGGUGAAAUUCGUAGAUAUUCGCAAGAACACCAGUGGCGAAGGCGGCUACCUGGACGGUGACUGACGCUGAGACGCGAAAGCGUGGGGAGCAAACAGG
rnacentral:rRNA from 1 species